AACUCACAACGCCGGACUGAAUCCACAGGGAGCCGUUCCUAGUAACCAAUGGACCUCCAGAGUCUCCCUUUUUUGUAUUUAAACUUC